rnacentral:rRNA from 1 species
GACGUAGGGCGCGAGCGUUGUCCGGAUUUAUUGGGCGUAAAGAGCUCGUAGGCGGCUUGUCGCGUCGUUCGUGAAAACCUGUGGCUCAACUACAGGCUUGCGGUCGAUACGGGCAGGCUGGAGUUCGGUAGGGGAGACUGGAAUUCCUGGUGUAGCGGUGAAAUGCGCAGAUAUCAGGAGGAACACCGGUGGCGAAGGCGGAUCUCUGGGCCGAUACUGACGCUGAGGAGCGAAAGCGUGGGGAGCGAACAGG